rnacentral:rRNA from 3 species
UUAUCGGAGAGUUUGAUCCUGGCUCAGGACGAACGCUGGCGGCGUGCCUAAUACAUGCAAGUCGAGCGGACAGAUGGGAGCUUGCUCCCUGAUGUUAGCG